AUUGAACGCUAGCGGGAUGCUUUACACAUGCAAGUCGAACGAGCGGCGGACGGGUGAGUAAUAUAUGGGAAUCUGCCCGGUAGCGGGGGAUAACUACUCGAAACAGUGGCUAAUACCGCAUACUAUCGGAUCGCCCCAUAUGGGAUUGGCUAGUAGGUGGGGUAAAGGCUCACCAAGGCAACGAUCCGUAGCUGGUUUGAGAGGAUGAUCAGCCACACUGGGACUGAGACACGGCCCAGACUCCUACGGGAGGCAGCAGUGGGGAAUUUUGGACAAUGGGGGAAACCCUGAUCCAGCCAUGCCGCGUGUAUGAGAAGGCCUUCGGGUUGUAAAGUACUUUUGGCAGAGAAGCGGUAUCUGCAGAAUAAGCACCGGCUAACUACGUGCCAGCAGCCGCGGUAAUUC
rnacentral:rRNA from 1 species